AGGACGCGGAGCUGUCGGGCGGGACCGCGGGGCCCGAGCGUCUGCGCGGCGGCAGCUGCUCUCACCCGGGCCGGACGGAGCGGGCAGCGGGCACCAUGGAGCCCCCCUCGGCCUCUCCCCGAGCAGGGCGCGGCCCCUGGCAGGAGCUCCUGCUGGCAGUCUCACUUUUAGCCUUCUGGAACCCGCUCACCACUGCCCAAGUCACUGUGGAGUCCGUGCCUCUCGAUGCUGCUGAAGGGAAGGACGCUCUUCUGCGGGUCCUCAAUCUGCCUGGGGAUACAGCAAGCCUUACCUGGUUCAAAGGGGAAACUGUAUUGCCUGCCCAUCAAAUUCUAUUAUAUGUAAUAGAAACCAACAUCACUACCCCGGGGCCUGCAUACAGCGGCAGAGAGACUAUAUACCCCAAUGGAUCCCUGCUGUUCCAGAACAUCAACCUGAACGACACUGGAUCCUACAUCCUACAAAUCAUAAACAGAAAAUUUGAAAUUGCACUAGCACGUGGACAGCUCCGAGUAUUCCCGGAGUUACAUAAACCCAGCAUCACAAGCAACAACUCCAACCCCGUGGAGGAUGUGGAUUCUGUAGUGUUAACGUGUGAAUCUCAGACUCAGAGCACAAGCUGCCUGUGGUCAGUAAACAGUAAGAGCCUCACGGACAGUCCCAGGCUGGAGCUGUCCCUGGACAACAGGACUCUCACUGUACAUGGUGUCACAAGGAAUGACACAGGAUCCUAUGAGUGUGAAACUCGGAACCCAGUGAGUGCUGAUCGUAGUGACCCAUUCACCCUGAAUGUUCUCUAUGGCCCGGACACACCCACCAUUUCCCCCCCAGACUCCUAUUACCGUCUAGGGGCAAACCUCAGUCUCUCCUGCCGCACAGCCUCUAACCCACCUGCACAGUAUUCUUGGCUUAUCAAUGGGAGGCCCCAGCCAUCCACACAGGAGCUCUUUAUCCCCAACAUCACUGCGAAUAAUAGUGGAUCCUAUACCUGCGUCGUCUAUAACAAUGCCACCCGCCUCAAUAAGACCACAGUCAAGACUAUCACAGUCUCUGAGCCAGUGUCCCAACCCCUUCUCACUGCCAGCAACACCACAGUCACAAAAGAUGACUCUGUUGUCCUGACCUGCUCCUCAAAUAACACCGGGGUCUCUAUCCAGUGGUUCUUCAAUGGCCAGAUUCUAACGCUCACGGAUAGGAUGAAGCUGUCCCAGGACAACAGCACCCUCACCAUAGACCCUGUCAGGAAGGAGGAUGCCGGGAAAUACGAGUGUGAGGUCUCCAACCCAGUCAGUUUCCGCAAAAGUGACCCUGUCAGGCUGGAUGUGGAAGAUGAUUCCACAGAACAAAGUUCUGGCCUUCCACCUGGGGCUAUUGCCGGCAUCGUGAUUGGAGUUGUGGCUGGGGUUGCUGUGAUAGCAGCCCUGGUGUACUUACUGUAUUUCAGAAAAACUGGCGGGUAUGAUCACCUUUCCUCCUGUUCCACUUUCUCCAAGACUAACUGCCAUGCUUGGGAGAGGGAAGGAGACUUUGCCCUGUCUCUGCACCUGGAUCUGCUCCUCUUUCUUUCUAAACUCCUGCUUCUCAGCACUAAUUCCUGUGGAUCUCUUCUUCAUGCUGUCUGGAGCUCACUCUCUCAGACAUGGUUAUUCCCGUCUCCAUCUGGUUUAGAGGGGCAGAUCUCAUUACGUUUCUGUCUCAAGUCAGUGAAUCCAAGUUCCCAGAAGGAAACAAAUGAGGAAAUGAGAGGAAGAGCAGGAGAAAGUGAGUCGCUUGCUCUUUUGACAGGAGUAGGAGGGAGGGAUAAGACAGGAAGAGAACCUAAGAAAAGGCAAAAACAACCAAAGCCUCUUGGGCAAAUAAGUAAAGUGAGACAAAAAUCAGCAUCUGCCUAUAAAGGGGAAAGGUGUCAGGGUACAAGUAGGCUCAGAUGCAACUGAUAAACAAUGGACCCAAAUGUGAACACCCAGCAAACAGGAAAGGAGUAAAGCCUAGAGGAGAUCAUGAGUAGACUGAAGAAGGAGGCCCUAAGAGGAAAGGUAGUACCAACAACGUAUAAGUGAACACUGAGGAGCCCCAAGGAAUUGCCUGCUGACAAUGUCCUUCCUAAUUCAAGGAACAAAAGAUCCUGUGCUUGGGAAUAGCAGUCACAGUGUCUGAUAUUUAUUUAGGGCAAGUGACCUGCGUGAUGUCACAGAGCACAAACCCUCAGCCUCCAAUCACAGUAAGUAAAGCCACUCACCCAGUGAGACUUGGUGUGUUCCACCAUGUGUCCUGCCCUAGCAGGGAAUCCUGGAUUCCCAAGCUACUUCCUACCUUCUGAAUUUUUGGAGGGGGAUCUCCAUUUUCCAACCUUAGGUUGCCAUAGGGUCCUCAUGCCUUUCUAGCCACAAAAGAUGCCCCUCAGAGAGACGUUCAUUCCACCUGGGCCAGGCAGGCCUGAGCAAGAUGGACCUGUUUCCAGGAGCCAUUUCCUCACCCAUACUUCCUCCCUCCUGCCUCUGUGAUGGAUGUGGGCAUUCUCCUUUGGUGAGACUUUCCCUGUCUUGUGGUGCUCUGGGUACUGUGGGCCUAAAUGUCCAUCCUUGCCACUGAAGCCUGUUGCUGAGAAAUAUAUCUGGGCAAAAAUCAAAGCCUUGUGGACUAGAAGAAAUUGUCAGAAGUGGACUGAGGCCUCCUCUGGUACCAAUGCCCAGGGUCUGGACCACAGACUCUGUGGAAAGUGAAUUCCUCAAGCAUUCAUAGGCCACUUCUUUAUCCAUCCUCCCACUAACUGCCAUCUCCUUCAGCUAGAAAUCACAACAGCUUAGGACCCACCUCCCCACCCCCACUCUCACCCCCUAGUCCCUAUUUUAAGGCCAUAAAUGAGCUUUGCCUUUUCAUGGAUUGGUAUAACUCUUCUUUUGUUUCACCAGGUCAGGACCAGUCUGACAAUUUGUCUAACAAGAUUGAAGAAGUUGCAUAUUCUUCCCUGAACUUCAAUGUCCAGGAACCAAAGAAAUCAACUUCAGCCUCCCCAUCCCCAGCAGCCACAGAAACGGUGUAUUCCGAAGUACAAA